UAAAAUUCCAAACAACACGGAGGAGGGAAUGGACCCUUUGUGGUUUCAGCGGCAGCCAGAUCUUUCUCUUCCUCUGGAGCAGAUGGGAAAAGCAGAAGAACUUCUUCAAUCAGUCUGAUACUGGUCCCAUAGGAUGCUCACCUCACCCUUUGUUUUCAGUAGCCAGAGAAGUGGAUUUCACCCCCACACCAUGAUCCCAGAUGCGAUUGCACAAGUGUAGAAUACAAGAAAGGUGACGCUCUAUAUCAAAUGCAGCAAUGUAGAGCAACCGAAAAUGGAAUCCGCUCUAAGCAUAGAUGCAAAAUGGCAACAAGUUUCACACUUUCAGCAAAUCAAAGGGCAGGAGACAGUCGGGUGAUACAUCAACAUAGCAAGCUUCUACAUCAAACAAUGGCUGACAUUGUUACUACUUUACACUCCUAAAACUAUGCAUCGUUAUUCUGAUAAAAGAGAAACAACCCUCUUUCCCAUCACAGGGAAAGAACAGGAUGGCCCAUCACUUCAUGUUUGUUGCUGAGUGCAGGAUACAAAAGUAACAUAGGAGUGUGAGAAAGGAAUACAUGGGAACGCUAAUAGCACCUAGCCAGAUCCCCCCACCACGUGGGAAGACAUGCCAGGGCAAGUCUCCGAGCCUGUGACUCUGUAUUAGCAACCUAAUAUGGCGUAGCUUAUGUCAAUUAAAGCAAAACUGAGUCUAGGGGUAUUUUCCAGAUAUCAUGCCUAGACGGUCCACAGCUGCCAUGGGUAGUGAAGGGGUGUGAGGGUUGGUGCACAUCGUCUCGGCUCCCAGAAAUCCCACAAUGCAAUGCGCAAGUGUGUGAUGGAUUGUGGGGAUCCCCCCCCCAGUGACAGGCAGGCGACUGACAGUGUUUCCGAACUGGCUGAAAGUAGCCAGUGCAGACAGACGAUCAAUUCAACAGGGUUAAGGGAGCACACGCUUCCUUGACCUCAUUUAAGAGCCUGGCUUCUUAGCCCAGUUGCUACUGAGUUGCUACUGAGGGGCCUCCAGAGCUGCUUGGCUCCUGGCGGUUCCCACAGGUAGUCAAGCCAGGGCUUAGCUACCCUCGCCAGGUCUUGGCUGCUCGUGAGGACAGCCUCAGUCAUAUCUAGAGAGCGUAUUUUGAUGAUAUCGGUAAAUUUAGGAAUGAGCAAAAUAAUUAAAGAGAUGUAGCCUAAAUGAUAUUGAAUACUCAGGGCAGAUUUAAAAAGUCCUCUCCCCAAAUAAUUUUCUGGCCUUCUCAUGCAACCCACUAUUGUAUCCAGUUCAUUUAUAUUUCCCCUCCCCUCUCCUUUUACCUAAAACUUAAGUCCCAAAGGGCAGCUUAAAUAGGUAGAUCUUAUAGCAGUUCUAAAAGGUGCUAGACUUCAUGAAGUCUUUUGUGGGAGGGUGUUCCAUAAUUAUUUCUGAAAAUGUGCUAAUUUAUUUAUUAAAUAGAACAAGCAGGCAAGAAUGUAUUUCAGAUGAGGAACUGGCAACGUAGCUGGAAAUGAGACAUGAAAGAAAUGUUUUCCAUUAGCCCUUGGAGAAAUUGGGAGUGUAGAUGGAAAAUAAGAAAAGGUUGUGAGGCUGCAAUUAAUUGCAUUGAUUCUUCGGAAUCAAAGUUUUCCUGAAAAUGCAGCGGGGUGGUGGUGUUAACAACCUGUGCCACCACAUAUCAUUCAGCAGGAAUGUGGAGUUGCUGAAAACAUGGUACUCUAGGACACCAUGCCACCAGGAUCUCUCUCUCUCUCUCUCUCUCUCUCUCUCUCUCUCUCUCUCUCUCUCUCUCUCUCUCUCUCUGCUUAUGUCUCAUUUAUGACUGUUCUGCAUUUAUACAGCUUUGAAGUAGCUUUUUGCUUUUACUUCUGCUGCUGCUAAUUUUAUGCUAUUGUAUAUUGUUUGCAUGUAGUUAUUACUAACUUUUGUUUUUAAUUUUGUUAGCUGCUCUCAGAGAAUUUACCAGAAGAGCAGCACAAAAAACAAAUACAAACAUAAAAUACAUAAAAUCUAACAAAUAC